AGUUUGAUCCUGGCUCAAAACGAACGCUGGCGGCAUGCCUAACACAUGCAAGUCAAACGAGGCCCUUCGGGGUUUAGGGGCGCACGGGUGCGUAACGCGGGGAAACCUGCCCUUUGGUUCGAAAUAACAGCUGGAAACGGCUGCUAAUACCGGAUGAUGACAAGAGUCCAAAAAUUUAUCGCCAGAGGAUGACCCCGCGUUGGAUUAGGUAGUUGGGGGGGUAAAGGCCUACCAAGCCAACAAUCCAUAGCUGGUCUGAGAGGAUGAUCACCCACACUGGGACUGAAACACGGCCCAAACUCCUACGGGAGGCAGCAGUGGGAAAUAUUGGACAAGGGGCGCAAGCCUGAUCCAGCAAUGCCGCGUGAGUGAUGAAGGCCCUAGGGUUGUAAAGCUCUUUUACCCGGAAAAAUAAUGACUGUACCGGGAGAAUAAGCCCCGGCUAACUCCGUG
rnacentral:rRNA from 1 species